CGCCAGACUCCUACGGGAGGCAGCAGUGGGGAAUAUUGCACAAUGGGGGAAACCCUGAUGCAGCGACGCCGCGUGAGCGAUGAAGUAUUUCGGUAUGUAAAGCUCUAUCAGCAGGGAAGAAAAUGACGGUACCUGACUAAGAAGCCCCGGCUAACUACGUGCCAGCAGCCGCGGUAAUACGUAGGGGGCAAGCGUUAUCCGGAUUUACUGGGUGUAAAGGGAGCGUAGACGGCUGUGCAAGCCAGAUGUGAAAGCCCGGGGCUCAACCCCGGGACUGCAUUUGGAACUGUGUGGCUGGAGUGUCGGAGAGGCAGGCGGAAUUCCUAGUGUAGCGGUGAAAUGCGUAGAUAUUAGGAGGAACACCAGUGGCGAAGGCGGCCUGCUGGACGAUGACUGACGUUGAGGCUCGAAAGCGUGGGGAGCAAACAGGAUUAGAUACCCUGGUA
rnacentral:rRNA from 1 species